CCUACGGGUGGCAGCAGUGAGGAAUAUUGGUCAAUGGACGCAAGUCUGAACCAGCCAUGCCGCGUGCAGGAUGACGGCUCUAUGGGUUGUAAACUGCUUUUAUACGAGGGUAAACCCCGAUACGUGUAGCGGGUUGCAAGUAUCGUACGAAUAAGGAUCGGCUAACUCCGUGCCAGCAGCCGCGGUAAUACGGAGGGUCCGGGCGUUAUCCGGAUUUAUUGGGUUUAAAGGGUGCGUAGGCGGUUUGAUAAGUUAGCGGUGAAAUGUUGGGGCUCAACCCUGAAACUGCCGUUAGUACUGUAGGACUAGAGAAUAUUUGCGGUAGGCGGAAUGUAUGGUGUAGCGGUGAAAUGCUUAGAGAUCACACAGAACACCGAUUGCGAAGGCAGCAUACCGGCGCACGACUGACGCUGAGGCACGAAAGCGUGGGGAUCGAACAGGAUUAGAUACCCGAGUAGUC
rnacentral:rRNA from 1 species